UAGGCAACACGAGUGAGGCGUCGGGAAGUCAAGCCGGUGCGGACACUCGCUUAAAAGGGAAGCUUUGAGGCAACACGAGUGAGGCGUCGGGAAGUCAAGCCGGUGCGGACACUCGCUUAAAAGGGAAGCUUUGAGCUUCAAGUAUGCCAAGCAUGCGGAUGAUGAUCAAUUCAAGGCUCAUGAACCGAACACAUUCAAGAAAUUGUUCCGCAACUUUUGUCGUAGUUAACCAUUAAUGAAACCUUGUAAUA